AAAAGAAGCUUUCCUAAUUCAUUAGAACAUCAGUUCUCCCCGGACAUAAUGUUCAUCAUGGAAGUACUUUUGCCCUUUGGAGAUCAUUGGAAACAGUUUCUGGACCACAAAUGGGGUGAAAUUCUCUAUCGAGGAAGGAGAGAGUAAGACUUGAGAGUUAUCUUUUAGCUCAGGGUGCAGAACUGGACUGAGAACUCAGUUAAGUGAAGCAAGCAAUCAUUUCCCAAGUGAUGCCAACUCAAAAUGAAUUAUAUCAGGAAAGGAAAAGCAGCUUUCUCAUUUGGAAAGACCUGGAGACCUUGAAACUGGGCAGCAUGUGCCUUGAACCUAGGAUCAAUAAAAAACUGGGAUGGAAAAGACAGUAAGAAUUUGGUCAGAUCACCAUAUCUUUCCAUUGUGCCUUAGAACAAAAGGAAAGAAAAUAUUUCUUUGGCUUACAGAGAAAAUACAUUGAGAAAUGAAGUACAACCCCUCACAGUGCUGGGCACAGAGCAGGUGCUCGGUAAAUAAAUAGUGUACUUGUUUGCUAAGUAA